rnacentral:rRNA from 1 species
GACGAACGCUGGCGGCGUGCUUAACACAUGCAAGUCGAGCGAUGAAGUUCCUUCGGGAAUGGAUUAGCGGCGGACGGGUGAGUAACACGUGGGUAACCUGCCUCAUAGAGGGGAAUAGCCUUCCGAAAGGAAGAUUAAUACCGCAUAAGAUUGUAGUACCGCAUGGCAUAGCAAUUAAAGGAGCAAUCCGCUAUGAGAUGGACCCGCGUCGCAUUAGCUAGUUGGUGAGGUAACGGCUCACCAAGGCGACGAUGCGUAGCCGACCUGAGAGGGUGAUCGGCCACAUUGGGACUGAGACACGGCCCAGACUCCUACGGGAGGCAGCAGUGGGGAAUAUUGCACAAUGGGGGAAACCCUGAUGCAGCAACGCCGCGUGAGUGAUGACGGCCUUCGGAUUGUAAAACUCUGUCUUCAGGGACGAUAAUGACGGUACCUGAGGAGGAAGCCACGGCUAACUACGUGCCAGCAGCCGCAGUAA